rnacentral:rRNA from 1 species
GUCGAACGGUAGCAGGAAGUGCUUGCACUUUGCUGACGAGUGGCGGACGGGUGAGUAAUACUUAGGAACAUGCCUUUGUGUGGGGGAUAACCAUUGGAAACGAUGGCUAAUACCGCAUAAUGUCUUUGGACCAAAGAGGGCUUUCGGGCUCUCGCGCAAAGAGUGGCCUAAGUGAGAUUAGCUUGUUGGUGAGGUAAAGGCUCACCAAGGCGACGAUCUCUAGCUGUUCUGAGAGGAAGAUCAGCCACACUGGGACUGAGACACGGCCCAGACUCCUACGGGAGGCAGCAGUGGGGAAUAUUGCACAAUGGGGGCAACCCUGAUGCAGCCAUGCCGCGUGUGUGAAGAAGGCCUUCGGGUUGUAAAGCACUUUCAGUUGUGAGGAAAGGUUGGUGGUUAAUACCCAUCAGCUGUGACGUUAGCAACAGAAGAAGCACCGGCUAACUCCGUGCCAGCAGCCGCGGUAAUACGGAGGGUGCGAGCGUUAAUCGGAAUUACUGGGCGUAAAGCGCACGCAGGCGGUUAUAUAAGCUAGAUGUGAAAGCCCCGGGCUCAACCUGGGAAUAGCAUUUAGAACUGUAUGACUAGAGUCUUGGAGAGGGGGGUGGAAUUCCAGGUGUAGCG